AUUGAACGCUGGCGGCAGGCCUAACACAUGCAAGUCGAGCGAGCGGCGGACGGGUGAGUAAUGUCUGGGAAACUGCCUGAUGGAGGGGGAUAACUACUGGAAACGGUAGCUAAUACCGCAUACCAUCAGAUGUGCCCAGAUGGGUUUGGCUGGUGGGUGGGGUAACGGCUCAACUAGGCGACGAACCCUAGCUGGACUGAGAGGAUGACCAGCCACACUGGAACUGGGACACGGUCCAAAUUCCUACGGGAGGCAGCAGGGGGGAAUAUUGCAGAAUGGGCGCAAGCCUGAUGCAGCCAUGCCGCGUGUGUGAAGAAGGCCUUCGGGUUGUAAAGCACUUUCAGCAGGGAGGCGUUACCCGCAGAAGAAGCACCGGCUAACUCCGUGCCAGCCGCCGCGGUAAUUC
rnacentral:rRNA from 1 species